CUUAGCUCAGUGGUAGGGACAUCACACUAUAUGUGCAGGAGUCCGUGUUCGAACUAGGGACACUCCACUUAUUCACUUUUAAAGUGGAUUUUCUAGUCACUAAGUUACUUGAAAAAAAAAACAAAAAAAAAAGAAAGAAAAUUGGAUAUGAAGACCAUUGUGAUAUAUCAAAAUUAAGAUAUAGAAGAAGAAACUGUAGAUAAUAUUUUUCAUAGUCUAUGUCAUUUAUCUUGCAUUAUCUUAAAGUACAAAACUAACAAGGUAAGUGAAAUUAGAAAAGGUAAAAGAAAACUCAUUUAAUAGGUGAUCACAAUCCUAAAUAAGAAAUUGUGGAAUAUUCUAGUAGUAGUGUGAUUUUGUUUUAAUUAUUUUGGGUGUGACAAUCAUAUAUAUAAUCCAUAAAGCUAUAAUUAUUGUCAUGUACAAAAACCAUUACGACACCUCAGUUUUUUAGGAUUUG
rnacentral:lncRNA from 1 species